rnacentral:rRNA from 1 species
UACGAAGGGGGCUAGCGUUGUUCGGAAUUACUGGGCGUAAAGCGCGUGUAGGCGGGUCCUUAAGUCAGGGGUGAAAUGCCAAGGCUCAACCUUGGAACUGCCUUUGAUACUGGGGAUCUUGAGUCCGGGAGAGGUGAGUGGAACUGCGAGUGUAGAGGUGAAAUUCGUAGAUAUUCGCAAGAACACCAGUGGCGAAGGCGGCUCACUGGCCCGGAACUGACGCUGAGACGCGAAAGCGUGGGUAGCAAACAGG